rnacentral:rRNA from 1 species
CCUGGCUUAGAACGAACGCUGGCGGCGUGCUUAACACAUGCAAGUCGAACGCGAAAGGGACUUCGGUCCUGAGUAAAGUGGCGCACGGGUGAGUAACGCGUAGAUAACCUGUCUUCAUGUCUGGAAUAAUACGCCGAAAGGGGUACUAAUACCGGAUAUUCUUGCUUUUCAUAAGUUAUGCAAGCAAAGGUGGCCUCUGCAUAUGCUACUGCAUGAAGAGGGGUCUGCGUACCAUUAGCUAGUAGGUGGGGUAAUGGCCUACCUAGGCGACGAUGGUUAGCGGGUCUGAGAGGAUGAUCCGCCACACUGGCACUGGAACACGGGCCAGACUCCUACGGGAGGCAGCAGUGAGGAAUAUUGCGCAAUGGGGGAAACCCUGACGCAGCGACGCCGCGUGAGUGAGGAAGGCCUUCGGGUCGUAAAGCUCUGUCAAGAGGAAAGAAGUGUACAAUGGCUAAUACCUGUUGUAUUUGACGGUACCUCUAAAGGAAGCACCGGCUAACUCCGUGCCAGCCGCGGC